rnacentral:lncRNA from 1 species
ACAUCUAGUAAUGAAUGCAAAGAAACUUUUAAAGACUUUAAUGCAAGUUCUGCUGCUUCACAAGUUGUUAGCUCUGAGGCUCAUAUUUUAAACUUAACAUCUAGUAAUGAAAUCCAAGAAACUUUUGUAGAUUUGGUUGCAGGUCCCGCUUUACAAGUUAUUAGCUCUGAUGCUCAAAUUUUAAAUUUAACAUCUAGUAAUGAAAUCCAAGAAACUUUUGUAGAUUUGGUUGCAGGUCCCGCUUUACAAGUUAUUAGCUCUGAUGCUCAAAU